rnacentral:tRNA from 1 species
GAGCCGUUAGCUCAGUUGGCAGAGCAGCGGGCUUUUAACCCGACGGUCUCCGGUUCAAUCCCGGAACGGCUCA